rnacentral:lncRNA from 1 species
AUGUUGAGACAUCUUGCCGGUGAGUACAUCCUAGACCUCAGAACCGCAACCCCGUGUGGCGGUGAGGAGACAGACACUAAUCCCUCCACACCGGCCCCCGCAACGCGGAGCUCCGUCACCGGGGUGCCGCGUGCACCUGAACUGCGGGGACCGAUUGGUGGCGGUUCGCGCGGGAAGGGACCGGCGCCGCUCUGCCCGGCUCGGGUCCGGCAGUGGAGCGCGGGGUCGGAGAGGGUCUGUCCUGCUGGCUGGCGGGGGGGGGGGGGGGGGGGGGGGGGUUGCCGGUCACCUCCUGUGUGUCCGCGUCGAGCACGGGCCUUGGCUCCAGUCGUCGCCGCUCCCGUCUGGGUGGCUUCUGCUCUCAUGUCCGUUCUUCGAGCCUACAGCUCUCUCCGGCACCUUGACGUGACAGCCUGGCCGGUGGCUCUUAGGCUGGCCUCGUUCCCUGAUGCGCGCGCGCACGGUGGCCGUCCCCUCCAAGCUGUCCCUCCCGCCGCCCCGUUUGGGUGCCACACCUCCGUCCUCAUUCGGUUUAACCUGAGGAGCCCGCCCGCGUCCUCCCUGCGGGAGAGUCCUUGGCCAUUAAAUCCUCGAAUAUCUCUCCCCUUUGGCUCCGGCUCCUGGUCCGCCCCGCAGACCCCGGACACUCGGUUCUGUCUUCCUCCCCACUCUGGUCUGCGUCCUGCCCGGAUGUUUCCCGGUGACCCCUCUUCGCUGGGCCCUCCUGCAGAAGGACUCACCCUCGAGGUCACGGCCUUCAUUUCUGGCACCUCCAUUCUUCCGUUUGACCAUUUCCACGUCUUCCGCGUGUGGCCCGCUUUUCCGCUGGAUCCCCACCUCUUCUUAUUUCCCGGUCUUUGGCGUUGCCCGCCUGGGCCCUCUCUGCUUCUGCUCCCGUUGACUGGGGAUCAGGGUUUUGUUGCAUCUGGAUCGUCUUGCGAGGUUUUCCCGAGUGCCGGGCGUUUGGGUGAGGGGAGCAGAGACUGGAAUGUCUCACAGUUAGCCCUGGCGGGGCGCGUCCUCCUCACCUGCCGUUCGGCUGGGUCUGGGCCCCGUGGCAGCUCGGUGAGUGUCGCCCGGGCCUCGAGGUGGCAACAGGGCAGCACUGCUGAGGCGCUGGCCGUCAGCCUGUUUCCGAGCCGGGCCGCCAUGACCUCAGAUCACCGGAGGCUCCCUCUGCCUCCGUCCCAGGUCCAUCCACCCCGCUGCUCUUCCUGGCCCUGGCGGACCACCCUCUCCCAGGGCAAGGGCCUGGCCCUGCCACUCCUCCCAGAGGGAGCUCUCGGUUUCCGGCCCCCACUUCUGAGAGGCUGGCUUCUACUUGGGGGUUUUCUGCAGGCUGUCCCCCCCUCACACCCACUCUUACCAUUGCGAGCCCUCCGCGAGGGCUGA